AUAUACUUCAGUAAUACAUAUACUAAAAUUGGAACGAUACAGAGAAGAUUAACAUGGCCCCUGCGCAAGGAUGACACACAAAUUCGUGAAGCGUUCCCUGUUUCU
rnacentral:snRNA from 1 species